UACGAAGGGGGCUAGCGUUGCUCGGAAUCACUGGGCGUAAAGGGCGCGUAGGCGGAUCUUUAAGUCGGGGGUGAAAGCCUGAGGCUCAACCUCAGAAUUGCCUUCGAUACUGGAGAUCUUGAGACCGGAAGAGGUAAGUGGAACUGCGAGUGUAGAGGUGAAAUUCGUAGAUAUUCGCAAGAACACCAGUGGCGAAGGCGG
rnacentral:rRNA from 1 species